AUUGAACGCUGGCGGCAGGCCUAACACAUGCAAGUCGAGCGGAUGAAGGGAGCUUGCUCCUGGAUUCAGCGGCGGACGGGUGAGUAAUGCCUAGGAAUCUGCCUGGUAGUGGGGGAUAACGUCCGGAAACGGGCGCUAAUACCGCAUACGUCCUGAGGGAGAAAGUGGGGGAUCUUCGGACCUCACGCUAUCAGAUGAGCCUAGGUCGGAUUAGCUAGUUGGUGGGGUAAAGGCCUACCAAGGCGACGAUCCGUAACUGGUCUGAGAGGAUGAUCAGUCACACUGGAACUGAGACACGGUCCAGACUCCUACGGGAGGCAGCAGUGGGGAAUAUUGGACAAUGGGCGAAAGCCUGAUCCAGCCAUGCCGCGUGUGUGAAGAAGGUCUUCGGAUUGUAAAGCACUUUAAGUUAGGAGGAAGGGCAGUAAGUUAAUACCUUGCUGUUUUGACGUUACCAACAGAAUAAGCACCGGCUAACUUCGU
rnacentral:rRNA from 1 species